CCCCUGGUGGUCUAGUGGUUAGGACUCAACACUUUCACUGCUGUGGCCCAAGUUCAACCCCUGGUCUGGGAA
rnacentral:tRNA from 1 species